CAGUGUCUUUCACCCCGCCCACUCUCUCUGCCAUGUGGUGGUCGGGUGAGGGCCUCGGGGUGGCAC
rnacentral:pre_miRNA from 2 species